rnacentral:rRNA from 1 species
ACUACGGGCGGCAGCAGUGGGGAAUAUUGGGCAAUGGGCGCAAGCCUGACCCAGCAACGCCGCGUGAAGGAAGAAGGCUUUCGGGUUGUAAACUUCUUUUCUCAGGGACGAAGCAAGUGACGGUACCUGAGGAAUAAGCCACGGCUAACUACGUGCCAGCAGCCGCGGUAAUACGUAGGUGGCAAGCGUUAUCCGGAUUUACUGGGGGUAAAGGGCGUGUAGGCGGGAAAGCAAGUCAGAGGUGAAAACCAUGGGCUCAACCUGUGGCCUGCAUUGGAAACUGUUUUUCUUGAGUACUGGAGAGGCAGACGGAAUUCCUAGUGUAGCGGUGAAAUGCGUAGAUAUUAGGAGGAACACCAGUGGCGAAGGCGGUCUGCUGGACAGCAACUGACGCUGAGGCGCGAAAGCGUGGGGAGCAAACAGGAUUAGAUACCCGGGUAGUC